UCCCUGGUAGUAUAUCGGUUAGUACACGCGCCUGUCAUCUUGUAGGGUCCGCGCGAAAGCGGGGUUCGACUCCCCGCCAGGGAG
rnacentral:tRNA from 1 species